UACGAACGCUGGCGGCGCGCCUAACACAUGCAAGUCGAACGAGCGAGAGGGAGCUUGCUUUCUCGAGCGAGUGGCGAACGGGUGAGUAACGCGUGAGGAACCUGCCUCAAAGAGGGGGACAACAGUUGGAAACGACUGCUAAUACCGCAUAAGCCCACGUUGCCGCAUGGCACAGAGGGAAAAGGAGCAAUCGGCUUUGAGAUGGCCGCGCGUCCGAUUAGAUCGGUGGUGAGGUGAUGGCCCACCAAGGCGACGAUCGGUAGCCGGACGGAGGGGUUGACCCGCUACAUCGGGACUGAGACACGGCCUAGACUCCUACGGGAGGCAGCAGUAGGGAAUAUUGCACAAGGGGGGAAACCCUGAUGCAGCGACGCCGGGUGUAGGAAGAAGGUCGUCGGAUUGUAAACUCCUGUUGUUGGGGAAGAUAAUGACGGUACCCAACAAGGAAGGGACGGCUAACUACGUG
rnacentral:rRNA from 1 species